ensembl:snRNA U6 U6 spliceosomal RNA
GUGCUGGCUUCAACAGCAUGUAUACUAAAAUUGGAACGAUACAGAGAAGAUUAUCAUGGCCCCUGCUCAAGGAUGACACGCAAAUUCGUGAAGCAUUCCAUAUUUUU